rnacentral:SRP_RNA from 15 species
CUGGUCAGGUCCGGAAGGUAGAGCGGCAGCAGGGCCUGGUGG